rnacentral:sRNA from 1 species
CAGGUAAGUAUUAUGUUAAUCGUUUGCCUGUAUGACUCGAACACCGCUCAGACAGAAACACGAUAGUAGGCUGGUAAGUUGAAUCAGCAGGCUGUCUGAGAGGUUUUAUUGGACGUUAUGAGUCGGCAUACAGUUAUGAACUGCGAAUUUUGGCUGAUCUGGAGGAAAAGUGAAAGCGUUAAUCAAUGUUAUAAAGUGCGUAAUGAGCACAAGAUUUUUUUUCUUAACUGUGGGAAAAUGAUUUAACGCACUAAUUGUGUGCCUUUACCUUACUAUACUUGAAGUAUGACGAGUAUAAAGAUUAACCGGCUGAGGAGUUUUUAUGGAUACCAAUCUGAAAAUGUCGCUGAUUACGACUGUUGGUGCGCUGGCAAUGAUUAUUGUUUUUAGCUUCGUGGCGGUAAUGAAUUAAUU